AAAUUUUUUGGGACUGGACAGAAUGAAGCGGAUGGACAUGAGGGAAGCUGUGUGUGUCCAUGCUUGCCAGCCUUUCCAUGUGAAUGUAACAUAAGGGGGAAAAAUAUGGGUACCUCCAUCUUUUCUGGGGUGUUCCUUCUGAUAUGCAGGUCCAAACCAUGCAGGGAUUUAAAGGAAUGUCCCUGUUUGGCUUGGUGGCAGAGUCUGAGAGUGCUUGCUUGCUGUCACCUCAACAACAUGGCCUGAAAAUGCUGCGCACCCACCGGAAGUUGUGCGUGGGGGAUGAUAUUGUCCUCUGCCUCAGACAGAAACAUGUCUUGGAUCACCCCUGAUCUCAGGAAUAGGUCUUUCCCAUCCCCGUUACCCAUGGUCCUUCAACUGGAGAUGCCUGGAAUUGAACCUGGGAUCCUCUGCAUGCAAAAACACAGGCUACCCUAGGCUAGUGGAGUUUGGCCAACCAUGUGCAAGCUUGACC